rnacentral:rRNA from 1 species
GCCGUGAGGUGUCGGCUUAAGUGCCAUAACGAGCGCAACCCUUGUCAUUAGUUACCAUCAGGUCAAGCUGGGGACUCUAAUGAGACUGCCACCGUAAGGUGUGAGGAAGGGGGGGAUGACGUCAAAUCAGCACGGCCCUUAUGUCCGGGGCGACACACGUGUUACAAUGGGGGGUACAGAGGGCAGCCAUCCGGCGACGGAGCGCUAAUCUCAAAAACUCUCCUCAGUUCGGAUUGGAGUCUGCAACUCGACUCCAUGAAGUUGGAUUCGCUA